rnacentral:lncRNA from 1 species
GUAACUAGAGUUCACAUAAGGAUUCAAAAAUCCUCCAGCAAGUGAAACGAGAUUUUCUCGGGAAAAUCGCAAUUCGAUUUGAAUUGAAUCAGAGAUUUAAGAUUAACGGCUAAGUUACUAGUCACCACCAAGCUCUAGACAGAAACGCACGAAUUAAGAUUGGCAGUAGAAUAGUUUAGAAGAAGAGAUUUUCUCACCCAAAAGCUCGCUCUCUAGGUGAAAUGGCGGAAAAAUGGAAGAAGAGGGAGGGGCUUGAAGAAGACACGUGGAUUCUUAUUGUGGAUAACAGUCUCGAGUAAUCACCCGGUCAUUACCCGGUUUAAUGAUUACUUCCCGGUUUUAAUUGGUUAACUCGAUAUUUUUCGAUCAAAAAAAAUUGGCGCCUAAAAUUGCAAGAAAAGUAGUAUUAGUGUACACUAGUAAAUAGUAGAAUACAAUUACAUUGGUAAUAUAUGUUGUAAACUAGACAAUGUUCUAUAAGUCGGUUUAAUUGUCCAUCCAUCUUCUAGGCAAUCGAAACUUCAAAAUCAUUUGGAUAUCUUAAUUUUGGUUUAAUCCCAUGAGCUAGCUUCUUUUUUAGCUGUCUACCAUUUUUUUUUUCUUUGAAUGUAUCUACCAAAUAUGGAACAUUAUAUCAUGUCUCGUAUUGGAAUAGUUGAUACAAAAUUCAAUAAUUAGAACUAGCUACAAUAUAGUCUUUUGUUUGGGGUAAAAGCUACGAAAUCUAGUGGUCUAAUUGUCUAAAUGAGGUAAAAAUUAAAAGUCCAGUGUAUUUUGAAAUUGUAAAUUUAUCACCGAAAAAUGUAAAAAGCAAAAGAGAGAUUACGAAAAGAGUGACGGAGAUAACGGGAAACCGUACCGCCGUUUGCAGUCUGAAAUGCUGAAGCUGACGUGACGUGUGGUGUGGCGUUUGAGAAAUAACAUCGAGUUUUUAGGGGUAAAUAGGUCUUUAUACUUCUUUCUGUUCCUAACAGACAGACGCUUCAAGGAAACACAAAAAGAAACAAAAAAAAAAAAAAAAACCUUUUUAGCUUUUUCUUUCUUCUUGGCGAGUUCGCGACCUUGGUCGGAAAAUCAACAAUCGCUUCUCUGCAAUCGCAUUAUCGGCUCUAAUGGCAGACCCAGAGGUACAAUUACCUUAAACCCCCUCAAUCUCCUCCUCUCACGAGUUCAUUUUUUUCGAUUUCGGAUUUUUCUUCGUUUAGUUUCGUUCUGUUUCUUCUAGACCUUGUUUCUCUUAUCGGACAGAAUCUUGUUGCUGAUUUCGCUAAUUUUGUUUAAAUUUUGGGUUUCACGAUGUGGGUUUUGUCUUGCUUUUCUUUUCGGGGUUUGCGAUGAUUUUUUGUUCGUUUUGUUUUGGGUUAACACAGACCUUAGCGGCGUUGAAGAGAGCCUACGCCGAUACGAUACUGAACACGACGAAGGAAGCGGCGGCACGUGUGAUGGUUUCUGAGAAGAAGGCGCGUAGGUAUCAGCAAGAACUUGUGACGGUUAGAAAUGAAGCACUUCAUACGUUGGUUAGGCUUAAACAGAUGCUUGAUUCCAAGGUACUAUCACUUUGUUCUUAUUUUCAUUUGUUUAUGGGUUCUUGGUUUGUUUUAUUUGGUUUCUGCCUGAUUAUGUUUUUGGGGUCUUAGAGGCAUUUCUUUUUUCUUGCUUCAUAUGAAGAUGGCUUUUGAAAUUAAGUUUUUCAGCCUUGCUUUCAUGGUUUUAAGCAUUGUUAAUGUUGUGUGUGUGUGUGUGACUCUGAGUUUUGUUUAUUCAGUCUUUGACAUUUGAAGUGACUAAAAUCUUCCAUCAUUCAAAUGAUAUGCUUCGAGACUAUCAUUUUUGCUAUGUUUUUUCACUACAUUCACUUCAUUGAACGUUGAUACAAGCCAUUGUUUUUGACACUCUUGAGACUAUUACAUUGAUACUUUGCAGAUAUAGCUUUUCUCUUCCUCCAUUGAUAUUUGUUCAUGAAACCUAAGGCCUAAAACUAAUGAGCGUAACCAAGUGUAGCUUAGUGUCAGCAAGUUCUAGAUUCGUUGUACCAUUGUUGGCAGUGAGGCUUACACAUAUUUCAUGGCUUAUGCUCUCAAUUCUCAUUUCAUCGUGAAAUUUUUAAGUUAAAGGUUUUUCAGUGUGGGGGAUAUAGCUUUUUCAUCUUAGAGACUGUAUCACGUUUGCUUGAGGAUGAGCUUUCCCUAAUGGAGUAUAUCUUUCUUUUGUGGCUGGCUUUGCGUUUCCUCCUCAACUCUAAUUUUUAAAAAACCGAUUUGUGUUUAUAGGUUAAGGAGACAGAGAUGCAAUCCUUGAAGCAGCAACAGAAGGUUGAGGAACUUGAAGCUCAGCUUGGAGAAGCUGAAGAUAUUGUAGGAGAGCUGAGGUUGGAGUUGAGAGUACUUCACGAUGAGCUCAAGAAACUUACGGAUGGUCAGAAACAUCUUAAAAAGAAUCAUGAGGAAAACCUCUGUUGGAAUAACCGUGAUGCUGCAGUUUCUGUAAUGCCUGAGGUUUCUUGCAGUCACGAGAACACAGAAGCUGUAGGUUUUUGCAUCCCAGUGGAACAAAAUGGAUCAGUGGUGGCUAAUGGGAUAAAAGUACCGUCUUUGACUCGCAUAAAUAGUAUUAACCGGUGUUCUUAUAAAGAUAACAAGGAUCAAUGUCACUACACUCUUCCAUCUAUACUGACAAAACGCAGGGAAACUGAAGGUUUAGCUCAGAUGAUCCACACAGUAGAUAGCAGUAUGGCCAAUGGGGUUCUGUCUUCCUCUGUAGAAGUAGGAGAUGUGAAUGAUGGAGUAUGUCUUCACGAAGUUUCGUCUUGUAAAAUUGUAGAGAGCUUAGAAAUGUCUGGUUGUGCUGAUGCUACUGACUCCAUAUCUUCUGUUAAAGAUGGAGAAGCCCCAAUAGUGUCUCCAAACUCUUCUCAGAAGGAUGUCGGCACUCUUAUAUCCUUGAAAACAUCUCCUCCGAGGGAACAUGAAAAUGACAGAAAGCUGGAGAUUAGCGAAACAGAGGCAAGGAAGGAAGAAAAAGAGAGCUGUGAGAAUAUGGAGGUUUCUGCAUCUCCUUUGUGCGAAGAAACUCCAGUUUUAGCACUGAGUAAAAAUCGGUGCAUCAAGUACACGUUCAAGAGGAAGAGAAAGAAGGAGGUCUUAAGUAAUCUUGAAGGAGAUUCCUCGUUUGAGGAGAGUAGAAACAUGAAACAGAAGACUGUUGAGAAAGACGAUGGUUACUUGGAGUCUCUGAAGCCUAGCUUUACCAGUGAAUCAUCUAGAGAUGUAGUCUAUGCUUAGCACAUGUGGCUUGGAAGGUUAGUAAAUAUCGACAUACAUCUAAUUUGCUAUAUCAUAUUAAGUUUAUUAUGUUUCCUUCUUGCCUUUAAACUUGAAAGUGUAUGGUCUAAAAACUGAUAUCAGUAGCAGUGCCCUUUUGUUGCAUUAUGGUUUUGGGUGUAAACUCUUGUCCAUUGUGAUGGGUUUAUAUAUAUAUGAUGUCCAAGAUUCUGAAUGUUCUAUGUUUCUUUAUUGUAUUUUAAUGGGCACAGCUUGUACCAUUCUCGUAGAAUAAAGAUUUGCAGCAGAACUAAUCAACCAGUAGGAUGCUCCAGCAAAAUGGUUAUAAUCAUCUAAUAUAUAAGGAUAGGUGGAAACUUUAAAAUUCUUACUUACACCUGGAUGGUGUAAGACUAAAGAGCUACCAUUGUAUUGCUUCCAUUUCGUACCUAUGUAAAUAAUCUUACGUAGAAGUCUUUAGCAAAUACUAGUUUUUGUGACUUGGUCAAAGUUUAUUCAUGGAAAUUUGGACUUGCGACCAUGAAUCAUGGACUAAAUAAGGAAAUGUUAAUCAAAUAAAUAAUUUGACUCAAGAGAUUGCGAUAUCUAUAAAUGCGAGUUUGUUCAAUCUUCUGUUUAAAAAGUUAAAGACCGUUUCAAUAUAAUUACCGGCUUUACUUCUACGUAAAGAGUAAUUAAGACUUACGGAGGACUUAUUCUUUCAAUUCUUUUGUGAAAAUAUAAGAAUUUUUAUGAUCAUAAAUAAUAUAUUAAUGAUCAUUUAAGGAAACAUGAUAUAUUUACUAAAUAAUCUAUAACAGUCUUAGAUUCAAGACAAAUAAUAUUUUUGAUUAUUUAUGAAACCCAUUAUAUAUUUUCUAGAUAAUCUUAAAAUUAAGAAUCACAGACCUUAAAAAUCAACUACAGUAAAUUGUUGAGCUGUGUUUUAAACACAGUAGAAGGUUCCCUUAAUUAAUAAUACUAAAAAGGUAACUAUUGUAUUUAGUUCCUUUAUUAUUCAAAAUUCAUUAAUUUUUUCAUUAUUUUAUUUUCUUUAUCAAUACAAACACAUUAACAAAUAUAUCUAGUUUGCUUAAUUAUUUAAAAUGCAUCCCCUUUUUUCCUAAUCUUGUUAUGGGAAAAAAACUCAGUCUACAUGCCUUGUAGUCCAAGUUUCAUUGACAGACCAAAAAAAGCCAUUAGACUAAAAAAAAUCCACUAAUUCGACGUCGUUUCAGCCAAUCAAAAAUCACCAAGGGUAUAGUUUCGUAAAUUAAAAGUCAAACCAGGGGUAGUUUCCCAAACGAGAUCCUUUAUAUACCGUGUACACACAAGCAUUUGGUUCUCCGAGCGAGAGACUGAGAAAUAGAAGGAGCGUAGCAGAGCAGUUUCCGAUUUUCAUUUCUCUCUCUUAAUCCAGAUUUAAGUAUUAGGGUUUUUUCUUCUAUCAUCGCCAUUACUCUCUCUCUCUGUUUCGCUUGUGUGUGUGUGUUGCUCAAAGAUUAUCAUCAUCAUGGUUGCUGUCACAGACUCUGAACUCUUUCAUGGCUCUCCGAUUUCAACAGAUUUCUCCAAGAAACGCAAGGUGUGUUCUUCGAAUUUCACUCCAAUCUUAAUGCGGUCGAUUCGUUUCUUGUAUCCGAGUAUGUACGCUUGAUUCAAAAGAAAAGUAUAAUCGAUCCGCGUCUAAUACCAAAUCCCCAGUUUCUGUGUGAUUCGAAGAACCGUGUUUUUCGUUGUCAUGUGGAUACCUUUUAGGGUUGAUAAUCGUCAAUUCUUAAUCUAUGCAUCGAAUCUUGUGUGCAUUUGCAGGCGAAUUGGUUUUGUAAGCUGAAGCAGUGGAAGAUUGAUGCUCGUCGCAAACAAUGGAUUUCUCAAUGUAAGAGCCUUUGAAUCUUUAAGUUUUCAAGUUUUGUUCAAUCUUUCGAGUGUUGAUGAUGAUGAAUUUGUUUGUGAAUGGUAUAGGGAAAAAAGCAAAUGUAGAUGAAGAAGAAAUUGGACGUAGAUUGAGAUCUUUGUUAGAGAAACUGACUGAUCAAAAAGCUUGGAGGAUUGAUUAUGAUGAUGAUGAGGAUGAUGAGAUUGAUCUUGAAAGGACAUCAUCAUUUGCUAGUAGUCCCACGAGUGUUCUCAAGAGGAAAGAUUCUGUUAGUGGUGAUUGCUUUUGUUGUUCUAAGCAGAUGACUGAGGAAGAGGAAGAAGUUUUUGACGAUGCUUAUGAUAACUGGGAUGGGUUUAAAGAUGCGUUAAACUCCUUUGAGAAUGAUAACAACGAAAGCUCUCGACUUGUGACAGAAGAUUUUGAGCAAGAAGAAGAAGAUCUGAUUCCAGAUACAAGCCAGAGGAUGAACAAGUGCAAGCAAGAAGCUGCACCUGGAAAUCAGACGACGAUUCACAGAAACAGUAAUAAGAAGAAGAGGUCUAACUCUGAGAAGCAAAGAGGUGAUGGUGAUGAAGAAUGUCCUAUUUGCUCUGAGUUGAUGGAUGCAACGGAUCUAGAAUUCGAACCAUGUACUUGUGGGUUUCGGAUUUGUCUCUUUUGCCAUAACAAGAUCAGUGAAAACGAAGCACGUUGUCCAGCUUGCAGGAAGGAUUAUAAAAAGACGAGUAAAAAAAGUGGAGAAGUAGGUUAUCAGCAACGUGGUCGUGGCACUAUUCCCUUGUCUCCGUCGUUUAGAGGACUUGACAGAGCUUAAGAGAGAAAGAAAGAAGUUCCAAAAGUUUCAUGAAACUUUUUUUCUAGUUUUGUCCUUAGUUUCAUCAGGAACAAGAAUUUUGUGGUUUUGCUUAAUUAGAUUGUUGUCAUCUCGGCAAUAAAUUUUCAUUCAUGUUUGUGAAUCAUAUAAUACACAUAAACCAAUAUUAGUCUUUUAUUCGAUACAUCAAAAGAUCAUUCCUUAAUAUUAGCAAAGAAAAGUUUGACUUCAUGAUGGCACAAACAUAUCUCACAAGCGGAAGAAGUAAGCAUGUCGUCGUCCUCACCAAAACGAUGACGAAAACAAUAGUUGGGAAAGAUCUCGGUUCGACCAUCGCAAUUGCAGUUCUCACGAACAUAGCUUUUUUGUAGGUGUCUCAUCAUCGGUUCGCCCCACCACCACAUAUUUCUGAUAUGUGUCCGAUGUUUUUCCAUCUCCUUGAUCGUAUUUGACAACAUCAAAGGUUUUCGUAGAGAAGACAAGAUCUUGAAACCAUUUUGUUUUGUUUUGCCACCAAGACAAAUUAGGAUCAACCCAUAAACAUAUUGUGCUUCUUGAUUUCCAUUGUUUGCAGUUUUUGCUAUAUGUUUGAGUCCUCUGUCUCGUUGACGUUCAUGACUAUCCCGAUGAAAGUAAUCGACAAGUCCUUUACGGUAUAUAGCCUCUAGGUUUCCACUCUUGCGACAUCUUUUGAAAAAAUUGUGAAAUUUUUUACGGUUGCGCCAUGGUAAAAGAGGGAUUUUAUUGAGGGAAAGCCGCUGCAGAAUGUAUCGAUCGUUGCUGAUACGUUUAAACGAUUUCGAAACUAAUUGAAGAUUGCGAAACUCGGAUAAUGAUGAAGCUGCAACACAUUAAGAGAUCUCUACAAGAAGGUCUUCAGGUAGAGAAUCUAGAGAAACAGAAACUGUCAUUCUGUGGGAAUUCUUGAAAGAAGAAAAAGUACUAUGGUUUGUUUAAGAUUGUGAGUAUUGUUUUCUCUCUUGAUUUGUUGACUCGGGUUUUUAUAACAAUGUUUAGAUUUCCUAUUCCUAAUAGGAAAAGGAAGUAAUACAAAAGUUUAGAAUAAGCCAAAAGAUUAAAAAUAAAUAAAAUCUAAAAAAGCUUUAAAAAAAAAAAGGAAAAAUACAUAAUAAUGGGAUUAAAUCCUUGUAUGGAGAACAAAUCCAAACCCUAGAUUCUCUCAUUCACCGUUCACCAAUGGGAAAACCCAAAAGGAGAAAUCAUAGGAAACCCACUAACAUCACCAUCACGUCAAUAGUAUUUUUGUGAUGAUGAAGAAUUUAUCAGAAAAUGGAAGUCAAAGACAAAGCAGAGGAAAGGAUUGUUUAAUGAAGUUGUGAGAGAUGAGAUUGGCUUUGUGUCUUGUUACUCUCCUAGUCACAUACAUAAUACAUUGAUUACGAGGUGAAUUUGAAACAUGUUGGCACACUUCCGCUUGUCUUCGUCGUUUAGAGCACCUAAAUUUACCAUCAUCCGUCCAUUAGGUCAGUAGUUAUAUUUGUGAUGAUGAAGAAGUUUCCGGUUUUCGGAAAGUGGAAGCCAAAGACAAAACCAGAGGAAAUUUUAUGAAGCUGUGAGAAAUGAGUUUAUGUUGGGAGAUCGAUGAGAUAAAAUUACCAUCAUCCGUUUACUGAAGCUGCAUUCUUAUUAUAGGAGUCUGAUGACAUAUUCCACACUCCACAACAGUUUUUGUAACUAAUUGUAACGUUGAUACUUUGUCAAACUCUUGAACACAUGAUCAUGAUGGUGCGCCAUUGUUAUCGUUCAUCUCAGCUUAACACAAUCCUUGGUAUAUCAGUUGCAUUCCAAAGGAUUCUUCUUGGAACCUUCUUGACUCUACAUUCGCUCGUAAACAAGUUUCUCACACUGCGGUGGAACAAAAACCAAGAACACAGAAACAAUCAUGACUUGACAUCAAGACAAUGCUACGUAUUGUUGAUGUACUGAGAAAAUUAUGAGUACCUUGAUGAGCAUAUCUGUUGGGAGCCAAGCUGGUGCGGUGGGGAUACCAACCCAUCCAACCUAAAGUCUCCAAAAUUCACAAUCCAUUAGCUCAUCUUAUGAAACAGAAUAAACAAUUUGUGUGGAGACUGACUUACAAGUGCAUACUCUCCUGUCUCAAAGACACGAAGGUCCAAGACCUGCAAGAUUUAGAUUACUUGUUCAAUAAGCUUGAAAUCUCUUGUGAUUUAUUUUCAAAAGGGAUUGUGUUAUACCUCGCCGCGAUCUUCGUAUAUGUAAUCAAGUCCUUUGUAGAAAGGAGGAUGUCCAACUGAUAAGUACUGUAAUUUCAACAAAUGUAGCAAAACAAAAGUUUCAGAAACAGAUUUUUGAAGAAGCAGCUUCAAAACUGGGAAAGAUUUCGACUAUACAUUGAUGCUGUUGAGGUACUUCUCUUUUUCCACACGAACGAUUUGGCCCUUCUUCACUGUUUUCUCAUCCACCAGAAACAGAAAUUCAAAAGAAUUAUCAAAAAUCUGUUAUUGGAUUCAACACUUAGAAACAAAAGUGAGGGAACAGACUCGAGUAAACCGGUUUCUUGGGGAGGGUUUUAGGGGUUUUGGUUGCAGCUGGUGAUGCUUCCCCAUCAGACUUGCCCUGUGUGCUCUGUUUCUCUUUCUCUGCUUCUGCUUUGACUGUGAAUUGAGGAAGAGAUCGAUGAGGGAGUCUUCUAGAAGAAAUUGGUAAUGAAGAGGAGAUGGUUGAAAGAGAAGAAAGCUGAGACACAGUCGCAGAGAAAGCCAUUGGAGAGACCACCAAGAAAAAAAAUUAUGUGUUCUUGGAGUUUCGGGAUAAGACCGCAAUGGUAUCCAAGUCUCUCAACGGUCUAAAACAGACAUCACUGAACCAAUCAUAAGAUGCCACGUAAGUGCAAACAAGUUUCCUCUGCUAUACAACUAGGAAUAUAGUAAUAGAUAAUGUAUUCCAACAAAGAUUAUAUUCGUUUUUUUUUGUUUUCUGAUGCUUGAAAGUUUAUGAAUUAUAAACACAUACAAGUGAAAUCGUGUAUGUCACAUGGAAGAUCAUAUACAAAAUCUUUUUACGUGUACUUUUAAAUUAUAUGUUACAUUAUAGAAUCUAAUUGAUCUGGUUGUGAAGUAGGAAACAAUAUAUAUACUGUAGGCAAAGUAUUUAAUUUUAUAAAAUUGUUUAAAUCAUAUUCACAUUGAUCUCCUUUUGUUUUAACAAAAAAAAAAAACAGAGUAAUAAGGUGAGCAUUAGAAUCUAGACUUACAUAGUUGCAUAUAUCAAAAAUAAUGUAUAUUACACAAGGAAAUCAAGAGAAAACGUGAGAAAAGAUUGAGCUCAAUCAUUUAACCCCUAGACUCUAAUUUGAUCCUCUUGGAAGAUGGAGUGUCGUCAUCAAGGGAGGAAACAUCAUGAGACGACGAUGAUGAAGAUGUUGAUGAUGAUGAUGGAGAUGAAUCAAUGUCGUUUUGUAGGAUUCUCUUAGGACUAAGUUUUUUGGUUUUUCCUUCUUCAGCUUCACCACCUCUCAUUAUAAGUUCUUUUAAACGCUUCACAUCAGCUAAUUUCACCGGUUUUAGCAAAAACUCCUCUGCUCCUUCUAUCAUACAUCUACAACAACAACAACAACAAAAGAGAGGAUAGACAAAAAAAUCAGAUUACAGUGUUAAGAUCCAUUGAUUCAGUUUUGUAUCUUUAGCUAUAGUGACUUACUGUUCUAUACGAGGUUGUAUGUUCUCAGAAGACAUUAUCACUACUGGGAUUUCUCUGAGUGCUGAAGACUCCUGGCAAAUAUACAACAGAAUUUUUGUAAGGAAAACACGAGAAGAGCUUAUUCAAAUCUUGCUCUAAUAAAUGACACAAAAUAGAAAUUUACUUUGAUCUUCUUGAGGAGUUCAUAUCCUGUUAGUCCCGGCAUUGAAUAAUCCGUCACUAUCAAGUUCACUUUCAAAUCCUGUUAUCAAAAUUUGCAAAAUUGUUCAUAUAAACGGCAUCAAUAAACAAAUAAUAAAAUCAUCCUCUAAAGGUUAAACUUUUGAUCCACAUUGUGAAACCUUAGAUUUCUUGGGAGCCAAACCAGCAUAAGAACACUUCAAGUUUCAACGUCUAGGGUUGAUUUUGCUAGAAAACAGAGAGAUUCUAAGAAAUGAAUGAAUAUAUACCUUAAGACCAGAAGAUCCAUUGUCUCCAUCUAAACCAAGAUACUGCAGAGCCCUAGUCCCACUCUCAACAGUCGUCACUAUAUAAAGAAACCCACCAAAUUUAUCCAAAAAAACGAAUCAGAAACCAAACAAAAGAAAAGCAGAAAACGUAAAGAGAAACAGUUUUGCCUUUUACCUUUACAAGCAGAGAUCUUAAGCAAUCUCUCAAUAACUUUACGAUCCACGAAACUAUCAUCAACGGCAAGAACAUGUAACUCCGGUGAAGAAGAAGAAGAUAAAGAAGAAGAUAAAUCUCUGAGAGCCAUUGUUUUCUCUCGGGAAAGUAAACAACAAAACAGAUGAAGAAACGUUUAAAGUUUGAACGUCAAAGGACGCAGAAAUCAAUGUGAAGAAGGAAGACGAGGAGUUACAUAAAUAAGAGAGAGAGAGAGAGAGAGGCAGAAGCGGUGAGUGAGAUACAUAAAUAAAUAGGAAAGAGAAAGAGGAGGAGAUUUAAGGAAAUACACAGAAGAGAAUCUGGAGGAUCGGAUCUUGAUGUUGUUGUUGUUGUUGUUAAGAUCUUGUGAGGGUCGGAAGAGAAUCUAAAGGCGAUGAGUGAUGUGUUUAUGUCUUGUCAGAAAACGUAAUAUUGUGUCUUCACGGUCAUAAUCUUUUUAGGGACCCAAUUUUCUUUGAUUUUACGAUCCUUUUGUCUGCUCUUUCUUUCUAUCUGACAAUGACUACUCUCCUCUCUUUUUAUCUUUCGUAUUCAGUAAUUACAUGUACUGUCUAUUAAUUUCUUUCACUUGGUUUCUUUUCAUUCUUUCACAUAAAAUAAAAUUUUCACUACAUUUAUGUUGGAAAAAGAGUACAUAUAUUUGUACUUUUGAAGAUUCACAAAAUCUAUAUAGAACUUAUAAAAUCUUCAUGAGGUGAAUCAAUUGAAAGUUCACAAACAUGAUUUUUUUUCUCAAAACUUUAAAAUAUAAUUAUUUUUGUAACUCAUCAAAUAAACUUUGGUGGACACCAUUACAAAAACAAACAUAUCCAUUCAAGGUUUGAUUAAUAACAUAAAACGGUACAAAAAUUUAAGCAGAUAGAGAAAGCGGUUAACGAUAUGUAAAUAAUUAAAAGUGGUAUAAAGUAACGGAUAGAAAGAACGGUGCGGUGAAAGUAUCUUUUUAAUCGCUUUGGUAUUAUUUUCAUAAUCAAUUACAACGGAUACGCUAUACUCCUACCGCAAUGCAUCAAUUAUAACCAAUAUGUUUUAGAUGGAAAGGCCUGGUUAGCAAUCGACUCUGCUGUUUGGUUUGUGAGAAUCGUCGAACUCUUCUUUGAACUCCACAAUGUCUUGUGAGACCAUUUCCAAAGAAUGCCCAAUUAGACCCAUAAACCAACUAACUCUGUACAAUCUGAAAAAGAAAGAAACGUUCCAUAAAACGGUUAAAACAUUAUUUAGCGGUAAACAAAUGUGAUACAACUACACCAAAUUACCCAAGAAGUCACUUAAAAAGACUUUUUUCAAAACAAAAUAAAACAAACCAAUCGAUGAAACGUCUUUUUAGCAAAUCGCUAUGUACUUCGGCCGCCGGAGCCAAUCUCAAACCACCGCCGGCAGAUUCCGCCGCCAUAGCUAAGCUUAUCCUCUCUUCUCCGAACACAACUCACCAAGACGAUCAAUUUCUACUCUCCACCAAAACAACCCCAUGGACCCCAAAUCUCGUGAACUCUGUUCUCAAGCGACUCUGGAACCACGGCCCUAAAGCUCUCCAAUUCUUCCACUUCCUCGACAAUCACCACCGCGAAUAUGUCCACGACGCUUCCUCCUUCGAUCUCGCAAUCGACAUUGCCGCCCGUCUUCACCUCCACCCCACCGUCUGGUCACUCAUUCACCGUAUGCGCUCUCUCCGCAUCGGUCCUUCUCCCAAAACCUUCGCAAUCGUCGCCGAGAGGUACGCAUCCGCUGGGAAGCCCGAUAAAGCGGUUAAGCUGUUUCUGAAUAUGCACGAACAUGGUUGUUUUCAAGAUUUAGCUUCUUUCAAUACGAUUCUCGAUGUGUUGUGUAAAUCUAAACGCGUAGAGAAAGCUUAUGAGUUGUUUAGAGCUCUUAGGGGAAGAUUUAGUGUUGAUACAGUUACUUACAAUGUGAUUCUUAACGGUUGGUGUUUGAUUAAAAGGACGCCUAAGGCUUUAGAAGUUUUGAAAGAGAUGGUUGAGAGAGGGAUAAACCCUAAUUUGACUACUUAUAACACAAUGCUCAAAGGUUUUUUCAGAGCUGGGCAGAUUAGACAUGCUUGGGAAUUCUUCUUGGAGAUGAAGAAACGGGAUUGUGAAAUAGAUGUUGUCACUUAUACUACUGUGGUUCACGGGUUUGGUGUUGCGGGGGAGAUAAAGCGGGCGAGGAAUGUUUUCGAUGAGAUGAUUAGAGAAGGUGUGCUUCCUUCUGUUGCGACGUACAAUGCUAUGAUUCAAGUUUUGUGUAAGAAAGAUAAUGUGGAGAAUGCGGUUGUGAUGUUUGAGGAAAUGGUGAGGAGAGGUUAUGAGCCGAAUGUGACGACUUAUAAUGUGUUGAUAAGAGGGUUGUUUCACGCUGGAGAGUUUAGUCGUGGAGAGGAGUUGAUGCAGAGAAUGGAGAAUGAAGGCUGUGAACCAAACUUCCAGACAUAUAACAUGAUGAUCCGUUAUUAUUCGGAAUGCAGCGAGGUCGAGAAAGCGUUGGGUUUGUUUGAGAAAAUGGGGAGUGGUGAUUGCUUGCCAAAUCUAGAUACUUACAACAUACUGAUAAGUGGAAUGUUUGUGAGAAAAAGAUCAGAAGAUAUGGUGGUCGCUGGUAAACUAUUGCUUGAGAUGGUUGAGAGAGGGUUUAUACCCCGGAAAUUUACUUUUAAUCGAGUUCUGAACGGGCUUCUUUUGACAGGGAAUCAAGCUUUUGCAAAGGAGAUCUUGAGAUUGCAGAGUAAAUCUGGUAGCCGGCUUCUCCGGAAGUUCAGGCUAUGAAGUUACUAGUCUGCAUGUGAUUGGGGAUAGACUCUUGCUAUGUUUACAACAAUCAAUACUUCCCCAAAGCAUUGCAUUGCAGUUAAUAGAGACUGGACCAGGAAAGGCUUCAUAGGAUUUUGCAAGAACAGUUUAUUAUCAAUGCCAAAACUACACAAGUGCUUUAUUAUUCUGGGCAAAAAUUCAGUGCCUUUUACAGUAGCUGUGUUGUGAGUAUAGAAAAUGGAAUUGAUACAAUGUUGGAAAAUUCUUGGUGUAAAUAAAUGAUACAUGUGAAUUAGUUCCCAAAUAUUUGCUUAUGUGGUUCUCCAGUAGAUAUUGAAUCAGAGGGAGAUAGUGUGGCUGCUCCCCACUGGGUUGGUUCCAUUUUUCAACUUCCGUUUUUCAGUUACAAAAUGAUCUCGUCUUGAACACUGACGUUCAGUGUCUUGUUUGGAAGAACAAUACUGCUGGUCACCACAACCUCGUCUUCAACUGCAACCGAGUCUCCUGUAACCAUUAUGUUUGAGGUUAGUUAUCUGUCUAUAAAGAGAUUUUGCUUUCUGUAUAUAAAGAGAAGGAGCUACAAUGGAGGAACAGUUUACCGAGAAUUGUAACUCCGAGUUUCGAAUUGUAGACUCCCUCAGCCUGUGAUCAACAAAGUACAACUUCAGGUUCACGAUUGUAAAGGAAUCAAACAAAAACAUUUCAAGGUCCAAAAAGAAUGAGUCAGGCUCUUAAGAGAUGAGCAGAAGAGGGAAACAUGCCUGGACGCGGGACCAUCUCCCGAUAGAAGAUUUCCACCCAACAAUUGCGUUAGUCACCACUGCAUUUUCCUGGGCAAAGAGUCACUGAAGGGUCAACCUCGAGAAAAUUUAACCGUUUUUCACUUUGUGUCUUGUAUAAGUAGACAUACCAUGAUCUCAACAUCGUCAAGGAUGAUGCAGCUCAUAAGCCUGACGCCCGGUCCAACACGAGCAUUUGCAGAGAUUGAGACGUUGGGACCAAUCUGUUAAUAGAUGAAACUUAAUGCUUUGUGAUAAAAGUGGAAUCAGAAGAAAUUGCUUCAACGAGGGACAAAACCAUAUGUAAGUACCUUUGCAGUUGGGUGAACUUUUGCAGAAGGAUGUAUGUAAACAUCACCAAUCACAAUGGCACUCCUUGUUCCAUCACCACUAGCCAACAGUUGGGGAGAUGUCAAGCGGAAUUGGGAAAGAUAGAGUCCUGAACACCUCAACGACAUCCUGUGCAAAAGUCAACUCAUAAGUCAGAGCCAUAAACACUAUCCCUGUUUCAGCUGCUGCUAAACAUUUUGUAUCCUUGCGGCUUCAAAGAAAUGAAAACACAAGGCAAGCAAUACAUACCCAGGAGAUUUGAUUUGCUCCCAGAAAUCCAUAGUCUCAUAAGUAUAUAGCCGUUUCUUCCCAGCUAGAGGUGAAAGGAUGUCUUGAUCCAGUCUUACAAAAUCUGUCGGGAUCCUAUUUUAAAGAAGUUAAAAGAUCAUUUUAAGAAGAUGAUUCGAAUGGUUUUCAAUUAUGGACAAGGAGACAAUCGACAAACCUUGUUGCCGGUUGAAGAGCUUCGAAGCUGGAAACACGUUUUAGAGUUGCUACAACAAAACAGAGGAAAAAGAUGAGAAGUCUUUAAAGAUAGAAAGCUAAGACAAGAAAACACAAAUUAUGUGUAAGAUCUUUGUUACUGCUUUACCUCUAUCUUUCCUCUGAGUAGAAACAUCUCCUAUGGCAUUAAAAAUUUCAGGUGUAAAUACAUAAACACCACAGUUAAUUCGAUCACUGACCUGUGUUUCCAAAAUAAAACAUAAGAAUCAAAGCUUGAAGAUGCUAUAAAGAUUGGGUCAUCUCAGUAAUAAAUGUACAUACAAAAGUUUCGGGUUUCUCGGUGUAAUGAAGCAGCUCAUUAGUAACUGGAUCUGCAACCAAUUCUCCAAAUUGGCUGGCUGAUUCAGGAGAGACCUAAAAACCAAAACGCAGAAGCAAAUUUGAUUGACCCGCCAAAAAAACAAAAACCAGACUAAUCAUAUACAAUCACAAACCUUGAUCACAAGAAGAGUUCCAAUUCCACCAUAUCCCCUGUGAGCCUCUGUUGAUCAAAAGUAGCAAUAGUUAAGAACGACCUUCAAAACCAUAAGAUGAGACCUCACAAGGUUUGGAUUAAUGAAAAAGAAUAUACCGAGCAUUUUGGGCAAGGGGAAACUGCAGCAAACAUCACAGUUAAGCAGGAAGAUAUGAGACUGCAAGAAGUAGAUAUAGGAACUCAGAUGUGAGAAGAAGCAUUUAGUCCAUAAAACACAAAAGAAGAAUGAUUCUAUAUAGUAAGAUCCUUGGAGACUAACCGGACUAUCUUCCAUAAUAAGAUUUCUAAAGUGAUACAGCCCACCAGCUGAACCAUGUGGUUUGUCUUCUCGCAGAUAUCUAAUUUGCAGAAUCCCAAAAAAAAAAAACAGAGAAGAAAGAUCAGAGCUACACGAAUGAGCCACUGAUACUUGAGCUGAAGCUAACGCAAAAAGAGGAGAGAUUCACUAACCUAACAGGAACUUUAAGUUCAUUAGAGAUGGCUGAAACAUAAAGUGCAAAUUCCCUUUCCUCAUAGAAGCCAACAAGAUAUAUUUGAGCUAAAUUUGGAAUCUGCAGACAAUAAGGGAUUGGUAUCAUCAUCUCUCAGUCUCUCCAGUGAUCUGAAUUGUUGAAAUCAUGAGUGAAGAAUAUUACUCUUUUACAAGCUGAAAUUGGAUGAUGCACCAUUGGUUGUCCCGCAAUAGGAAACAGAGGCUUUGGAAUAUUCAGCGACAAUGGCCGAAAUCGAGUGCCUGUGCAUCACUCAAUAACCAAUAUUUACACAGAAUCAGAACCAUAAUCAUUCGGAUACACGAAACUAAUAACCAAACAAGAGAGAAACGCAUUGGAUAUCAAAAUCUAACGGAAUUAGAUUUGAUCAAUCGAGAUUUCACAGUCAUUUGCUUUUGAGGAGGAAUCAGAAAGAAAGAAAGAAAAAAAGCAAACAUAUUUAGCGGUUACCUUUGGUUGGACCACCGACCAUGAUCACAGCCACCACUUUCUCCUCCAUUGAGCUCCCCAUGUUCAAAGCUCAGAUCUUUUUAACAGACCCACAAAACUUUGACAGAAAUUUCCCAACUUGCAGAAAAAUGGGGACAGCAGUAUCACAAUUCAGACAAAAGGAUUUGAGCUUUGAAGGAAGAUCUCCUCUGAGAAACUGGAAAAACAAAAAAAGGUGAAGUUUUUGAGAAGAUCUAAUCGAAACUGUGACAGGUUAGUUGUGGUUAUCGAGAUCUAAGAAGCUGUAUUGUUGCGGUGAUGGGGUCCCUCCAAGUCACACUCACCAUUCACCACAGUCCUUUAAGGAUAAGCGCGAGACCUCUCGUCUUUACCUCUUUUUCAGAUUUGGUUGCCAAACAUUUUACUAUUUAAAAAAUGGAAAAAAAAUCCACAAAUCUUCAGAUCUCAUAAAAUGUUUAUUUCAAGCAAUUAUAGUAAAAAAAAAAGUUAUGAUUUGGAAUUGAUUGCCAUGUGAGUUUUAACUUUGAUGUGACUUGAAGGUGACAUAAAAUGGUUCAUGUUCUUGAUACUGCUGCACCAGAGCCUAAAAUGGUGCCUCAAUACUGGCCUUUAUAGAACAACCAAUAAUUAUCAGCAAAGCAUCUUUUAUUCAUUAUAAAUUCAACAGGUUUUACAAAAGAGUUUCAGGACCGAACUAGACAGACUGAUAAUAAAAGCACAAAGAUUUGAACAGACAGCAUUUGGUUUGGUUUCCAUUUCCAUGACAAUGUAUUCAUUACUUAGUUGGGAGAUUUGUACCAUCCCCAGGGAUCGUUUGAAGUGUAGAGAGUCACUUGCUUCACACUCAAGUAGUUAUCAAGUCCCCUGAAGCACGCAAGAAACCAGCCAUAACCAAGAUUUGUUCAGUACAAGCCAUCAAGAUAUAGUCUUUUAAAAACAAGAUUCGAGAUAGAAAAAGAAAUGUACCAUUCUCCAAGUUCUCGUCCAAACCCACUGCGUUUGACACCACCCCAUGGGGCUUGGGUAAAGCAAGGCUGCGAGCAGUUAAUCCAGACAAUCCCAGCUUCAAAGGCCUAACAAAGUAGACACCAAUUGUUUGUGUUAUUUGAUGGUAUUGUUAUUUCACUUGCUAGGCAUUAAAAACAAAUCUGAAUGGUUCAAGAAACCGGUACUAACCUCGCUUAUACGGUCACAUCUUUCUGUGUCAUUAGAUAUCACUGCAGCUCCUAGUCCGUAACUGUCAUUAAUCAAUGAAUAAUUUUCAGCCACAUAAGAUCUUAAAUGAUAAAUUUGAUUUAAACACCAGUGUCAGCGGAUGGGAUUUGAUCAGAUUUCACUUUCUGGAGAAACGUUAACUUACUGAGAGUCAUUUGCUAGCUCAAUUGCCUCGUCCUCACUGGCAAAUGUUUUCACGCAAAGAACAGGCCCGAAAACUUCUUCUCUCCAUAUUUGCAUUGAAGUGGUUACAUCAGUUAUGAUGGUUGGUUCAAUGAAGAAGCCCUUUUCCAGAUGCUGUGAAAUAUAGAUAUGAUAUAAAAGGUCAUCAUCAUAGUCUGGAAGAAACUGCAUCAAGGAUAGGUAAGGGAGGGAGAUGUAAUACCUCAGGUCGGGAACCACCAUGCAAGAUCGUUGCUCCUUCACUCUUGGCCGUUGAGAUAAACUUCAAUAUCUUCUCGUACUGUAAUAUUUACAUUUGUCAGCUCAAUCAGAUUAUAUGAUCAUAGAAGAAAAGCACACCUACCAAGUAAGAACAUGAUAAGCGUGAUGAAAUAUCAUAUGCUAGAUGUGAUUUGAUUGAUGCUCUAAAAGCUAAACGGUUCAGAAUUAGAGGGACAAAAGUUAAUCACUAUACUACAGAACUCAAUUCUCUUUUCCUUUUUAGUCCUGGUUGUUGUAUUGCAACCUGAUGGGAAAUUGACAAAUAAUAUGAAGACAGAAAAAACGAUCACUGGGAUUUUACCUGUCCUUUGCUAACUACAGGACCAAGCCUGCAUCCUUCUUCCAUGGGGUCUGAAAUUUUAAUGUUCUUGCUCCAUUUUACAAGCUUCUCUAUGAACUCAGAUGCGAUGCUUUCCUAAGAUAUAAAAUAAAAAAAUUUAGACAAGAGAGUCAGCAAUUGUAUCCCUGUUGGCAUAUCCACCAGAAGGUUUGAUCUGAAAUAAAUGUCAUUGUCAUUGACCUUAAUGGAAACAUCUUCCCGUAUGACUUGGAACAUUCACUUCUCCAGUAAUAAAUAUUCGCAUGUCAUAUUGGGAAGAUCAGGUAAAACCUUAAAGCAAGUAGAAGAUUGGGACUUACGUGAACAAGAAGGCGGGAAGUUGCACUGCAGAUUUGACCAUUUGUCCAGAAGCAACCGAAAAGAGCCCAUUCAGCAGCUAUCAUUUGCCGGCGUCAAAACAUACAAAGAGUUUAAUUUUAAGAUUAAGCAAAUUUAAGUCAUGUCUACUCGUCUCAAAGCAACAAAAGCAUUAGUACUAUCUUGAAUAUAGCACAAGAAGAAGUUAUUAUAAAAAAACUCCAAAUCCACUAAACUACUUUUUGUGACAUUCACCUUUAUCAAGAUCAACGUCAUCAAACACAAUGAGAGGGCUCUUCCCACCAAGUUCCAUAGAAACAGGCUGCAACAAUGCCAUGAGUAAUGUGUCAUUGACAUUGGUGAUGAAACAAAAGGAGGAGAAGGAAUAUACAGCAGAAAGUUCAAAAAUUGGAAUUACCUUCACCAACUGAGCAGCGGCUGUCAUGACCUUACUUCCUGUGGCGAAACUUCCAGUAAAUGCAAUCUGCAACGAAAUCAUAACUUAGCAUUGAAGCGUUUAAGAAACGCAGACGUUAAACUGAAUGUUUAAUCAUAGCCUUUAGAGUUAAUUUUGUUGGGACUUAUGUUUACUGUAUUCUCAAAGACCAAUACCUUGUCCACGCCAGGAUGUGAUGCCAAAGGAGCACCAGCUUCCGAACCGAAACCAGUCAAAACAUUGAGGACCCCAGGAGGAAGACCAACUUCUCGACAAAUAUCAGCAAGCUCCAAACAAGUACUGAAUUUAGAACCAUGAGACGUGUUCAAAUAAGGACCAAUACAGAAGCAUAAGAGCAAAACAGAUUAUACACAAUUACGUACACUGAUGCCAGCUCUGAUGGCUUGAGAAUCGCAGUGCACCCUGCAGCAAGGGAAGGAGCCACCUUCCAAACAGCCAUCAAAAGGGGGUAAUUCCUUCAACAUCAAACCAGAUCCAUGAGUCAGUUUCUGGUCAUAUAAAAUAGAAUAGGUGCCAUAUAGACUCAAACAAGUUAACCACAAAAGGAAAGCUACCAUGGUGUAAUAAGUCCCACAACUCCGAGAGGUUGCUUCAGAACAUAACUCUUAAAACUCUCCAUGGGAAGCGAGACUGGUGCUUUCUGCUUAGCAUCUAAUCCUUCAGCAAGGUCAGCAUAAAAUUCAAAACAUCCAGCAACAUCAUCCUGCAAAAGAUCAAACAAACACAUUUAAGAUCAAACCUACAAAGAAAACCCUACAUUUCACAAAAACAAAAUGGAAGCAACAGUACCAUAUCCCAUACUGCUUCAUCCAAUGGUUUACCACAAUCAAGCGCCUCGAGCUUUGCCAGAUCCGUCUUUCUUUCAUUUACCUACACAUCAGAUAACAGAAGACUAAAACUGAUUACACAAAAGCCCAAACAAAACUGAGGCUUUGUCAACACAGCAUCACAAUCACAAACAUAAAAUGAAUACCUUAGCAGCAAUAGCACGUAAAUACUUAGCACGAACAGCUCCAGGUGCUUUGGCCCAAUCUUUCCCUUUAUUCCUUGAUAAUGCUCUUCGAGCAGCGUUGACAGCAACAUCCACGUCCUCCGUUGUAGCUGCAGGAAUAUCACCUAUCUCAUCCAACACAUACAAAUCCUUGGAUCAACUUCAACUAAAAUUCAUGGAAAGAAAGUAGUCGAUACAGCAAAAGAUAGUCAUGAAUAGAGUUAGGAGCAAGUAAUAUCUCCACAUCGAACUAAGAAGUAAACAAAAGUAUACAUUUUUACUUGGAUCUAAUCGAGCUGUGGCGGAUUUUGAGAAAAGCGCUUACCAAUGACCUCUUCAGUAGCUGGAUUAACGAUCGGGAUUCGCUUCUUCAAGAUGGGUUCUCUCCAUUCGCCGUCGAUGAAUAGCUGGCGAGUAGGCAUCGGAAUCGCCAUUGUUCUUAUCUGAAUCUAGAGCUCCGGAGAUGGAGUUGCUGCUGCUCACUGGAUCGUGGAUUCGUGGUGCACCGUGCACGCACUUCAAGAUUUGGACUUUAUAAGUAGCUUUCACUAAUGAAGAAGAGUAGGAGGAUCAAAACGAAAAAGCCUCUCUUUUUUCCUUGUUCUGCUGACACCAACCAGAUCAACUUUUUUUAAUUAUAACUCUUUUACUAAUCUAAUUAAAAAUGUGUAUUUAGUUCCAAAAUAAUUAAAACAGAGAUCAAAUUUUCAUAUUAUGAACAAAAAUAUAUAGAAAUUAGAAGAACUAAAAAUCAUACACAAAGUUAAUUAGAAAAGGAUUAGAGAUCUUUAAACGUCACUUUUUUGUUUUGUUUUUUUGCAAGAUAAGAGGUGAAUCAAAAUUGAAAAAGGAAAUAAACAUGUAAUAUAUUCCAAACGUUGAGUAAAAUCCUAAACCGGCAAGGAUUAGGUUCCGUAAACCUUAUAAAUAGAGAGUUCGUAUAGUCUUUGUUUUCCUCAUCAAUACUCAAAUAACUCAUCGACUUAUAUUCCUCAAUCUUCCUUCUUCGAUUUUCUUAAUUUGUGAUCUUUUGAUCGAUAAUGGCGACCACAACAACAAGAAUCUUCUCCUUCAUGCUCAUGAUGAUGAGCUUCACCGUUCUAAUGGGAUGUUGUUGCUCAGCGAAAACCUAUAAAGUUGGUAACUCGGAGGGUUGGGGGCAAUCUGUUCCGUGGGUUCUGAACAAAUAAAUAAUAGUAACAAACGAUUUUCCCAAAAUGGAAAUUGAUUAUUGAAUCUAAGGGAGACUGUUCUUACACAAGGUUGUGUCACAAGUUCAUUAGUAGUGGCUAUCUCGAGCAAAGUAUAAUGAAAGUUAGUAGUGGCCACUGGCCUUCAAUUCAAUUAUUGCUCCAUCUUGAGAAGUGGGAUUAAAAGAAGGUAACUUUUUUUAACUUAUUUGGAAAACAGAAUGCGUAAACAAAAGAGAUAGCUACUGCUCUAAAUAGUGUUCAUGUAUGAAACUUCUGUUUUGGUUCCACCUUUCUUCUUCUACGAAUCUCAAGUUAUGAUCAACAGACGACUCGCUUCUUUCUUCAAAACAGUGAGUCAUAUACUUGCUUCUUAACUUCUUAAUUAGUGUCCGCAUCAAAAAUGUCAUGAGCCUAACCAUUGAUGCAAACAUUUAUAAUAACAAUACUUAUGUGUGUCCGAUUCAACGCCCAAUAAUCUCUAAAAUACAAAAGAAGAAGUAGUCUUAAAAUUCUAGAAACAGAAGUCGCGACGAAAAUCUCAGUAUUUAAAACAAACGUGCCUAAACAAAUAGAGAUAAUCAUUCAGAUAUAAUGCAAAAAGACAAAAGAGAGUUGAAUUAAAUCACGUGGAAAACAAGGAACACGACAAAGCAGAACAGUCUCACUAUUCCCGCGUUAGCCACUCAAUACAAUCCGCCACGUGUCCCAUCUUCACGCGCCAGUCAGCGUUGAUCUUCUUCCUCACUUGCCACUUCCACUUCUUCAUAUAUAAAUCCCACACAGCCGCAAAUUCGAAAUCAACCAGAUAUAACAGAAUUAACCUACACAACUGAAACUCGAGUUAAGAACCGGAAACAGAAUCCAAUUCAACCAAACCGAAUCGAACCGAACCGGAGUUUUUAUCCAAUGGUGAAGCAAGCGAUGAAGGAAGAGGAGAAGAAGAGAAACACGGCGAUGCAGUCAAAGUACAAAGGAGUGAGGAAGAGGAAAUGGGGAAAAUGGGUAUCGGAGAUCAGACUUCCACACAGCAGAGAACGAAUUUGGUUAGGCUCUUACGACACUCCCGAGAAGGCGGCGCGUGCUUUCGACGCCGCUCAAUUUUGUCUCCGCGGCGGCGAUGCUAAUUUCAAUUUCCCUAAUAAUCCACCGUCGAUCUCCGUAGAAAAGUCGUUGACGCCUCCGGAGAUUCAGGAAGCUGCUGCUAGAUUCGCUAACACAUUCCAAGACAUUGUCAAGGGAGAAGAAGAAUCGGGUUUAGUACCCGGAUCCGAGAUCCGACCAGAGUCUCCUUCUACAUCUGCAUCUGUUGCUACAUCGACGGUGGAUUAUGAUUUUUCGUUUUUGGAUUUGCUUCCGAUGAAUUUCGGGUUUGAUUCCUUCUCCGACGACUUCUCUGGCUUCUCCGGUGGUGAUCGAUUUACAGAGAUUUUACCCAUCGAAGAUUACGGAGGAGAGAGUUUAUUAGAUGAAUCUUUGAUUCUUUGGGAUUUUUGAAUUCCCAAACAUAAUAUUUUUUUAGAGCGAACUGUGAGAUUUUCCUUGGAGUCAUGGAGAAAUCUGGAGAUUUUUUGUAACACGGAGCUCCAAUGACCCGGGAAUUUCUUUCGUUUCGGAUCCGAAUUUGAUGUGGAUCAUAUUCACACCUAUAUUUUUUCAUUUUUUUGUUGUAAAGAAAAAUCGGAUAAGAUUCUAGUAAUAAAUGUUAAAAGUCCAUUUCAUUAUUCUGAAGAAUAUCCUUCGAACACGAUGAGUUUGGAAGAUUAUAUUAUCCGGCCCAAAAUCUUAUAGUUGGGCCUUAGUCAUUAAACAUUUUUCUCAGCCCAUUGUUUUAAAAAUUGAUUUUCGUGAUAAAGUAGUUAACUUAAGUGAAGUACGAAGGUUCCCUUGGCCUAAUUAAAACACAAGGGGGUUUCUAUAAAUGAAAUAUGAUAAAAUAUCUUCCAAGCAUUUCGAUAGUAUUGAUGACAAUUACAAAGUUCAACAUCAAUAAGUCAAGAAAUUAGGAUUGGAAAUCAAGGAAGAGAAACGGUCUUCAAAGAAAAUAGAAUUGAAUCGAGAAAAAUAUCAGUAAUCGGAAAAAAAAAUGAAAAAAAAUUGGGGUGGAUAAGAUUCCCAUCAUUUUCAAAUUGCCACCUGAUUUUCGGCUUAAAUAAGAAAAACCAUCACUUUCAAUAUAAACCACUAUUUCAUUCGAGACAAAAUAAAAAAGAAAAAAUAAAAACCACUAGCUAAACUAAUACUAAUAAUCUAGGUGCUAAUAAAUACUAGAAAACAAUCCACAUUUCAAGUAUAGAUGAAUUGGUCUAUUAAUAUAAAAUACGGUGAAUUAAAAAAUAACACAAUUAAAUUUACAUAAAAUUUAAAAAUAUAUAUCAGGUACAUCACAGAAUAUAUUUUUACAUUAGAGAAAGUCUUGGAUUCCCAAUAAUAUAAAACAAAAUAUCAGAAAAAGACAUUUGAAUUCUUGAUGUGGGUCCUCACGGUCCUACCACACUCCAAUGAAAUGCUUAAAAAAAAAGAAGAAAAGGAAUCAUUACAUAAGAAAAGAAAAAAUAAUAUCUGAGCCUGCUCAUAUCAAUAAUUGUGUAUAUAUAGAAUUAUAUAGAUGAUGUCGAUAAAAGAAACCAAACAAGAUAAAUAAAUACAAAAAUAAUAAUGGUGAUGGUGGGCCGUUCUAUAAACUUCAAUCAUUAAUCAUAGCACACAAAAUUCCAAACUUGAGAAAUAUAAUCAGUGGGCUAAACUCUAAAGUCUCUCUACCUUUCUCCAUCUCCUUCUUCUUCUUCUAUCAGAUUCUUUCUUUCCUAUUACCUUUGCCUUCUUCUUCUUCCUUUCCUCUUUCUCUAUCUUCCUCUCAAUUCUUUUACUGUUUAUUUUCUUUGUAAUCAACAACAGUUUAACUCUUCUUCUUCUUUUCUUUAUCAAGAACAGUAGUUUCUCAAUUCUUGAUUAUGAUACUAAGCAAGAGACCUCAUCUAAUGAUCCGUAAAUUGUCUGAGAUGUUGGUUCCAAGAAGCAGAUCUGCUGCUAUUAAACCGGAGGAGUACACGGCCAGUCCGAGAAGUCCGUUGGAUUUGAACUUCCCCUCCCCGGUUCACUCGAAGCGGUUCGGUUCUGGUGGUGUCGGUUUGGGUAUUGUUGCUGCGUUGGAGGAAACUAGCAACGGGAUUAACCGGCAUGAUCCGGUUCGUUACUCCGGGAGAUUCAGGUGCCCGGAGAUUGAUCUGUCGGAUGAGGAAUACACUUAUGUUACGAGCCCAAACGGGCCGACCAAAGUGUAUUACAACGACGACGGGUUUGAAUUGUCUGAAAAUGAUUAUCGGAGAGUUCAUAAACCGAUGGUUACCGUCGAUGAACCACCGGUUAUUGAAAGACAGAGUGUUAGGGGUCCAACAGAGUUUCUGAGUUCGUGUUGCUUGUGUAAGAAGAAACUUCAAGGCAAAGACAUAUACAUGUACAAGUAAGUUUCAUCGCAUUAUUGCUUCUUGGAUCUUUGUUAAAUUGGAGACUAAUUCAAUAUUUUAUUGGUAUUUUUUCUAGAAACUGAUCCUUUUUUUUUUGGGUUGUGUGCAGAGGAGAGAUGGGAUUUUGUAGUGCCGAAUGCAGAUCAGUGCAAAUAAUGAAUGACGAACGACAAGAGCAAUGUAAAACGCAAGUUUCAAGAAACGCCGACGUUUUGAGCUCUCCUUACGCCGCCGGACAGAGAUUAUCUGCCGGAGUAUUCGUAUUUUAGGAUGAUCACAAUUCACAAUAAUACGAAGAGAAGUAUAUUUUAUUUAUAUAUAAAAAAAAAAGUGAUCAUCAUUCCAUUUUACCUUAAUAGAAGAAAAAAGGUUAGAAAAUAACAAAAAAAAAAAAAGUGAAAUUUUUGGUUAGGUUAAAAAGCACAUUGUAUAGAAGUUUGCUUUUUGUUAACUUUUAAUACCGAGUAAUGUUUAUGGCUUUUCCUCGGAAUCACAUAAAUCAAUAAUCAUUUCGUGAAAUAGCUUUGUAGAACAAGUAUGUAUGUAUAUAUGCCAAUUUCUCAAUUCCCUGUAUCCAAAACAUUGAAUCAAUCAAUUGAAAAUGUAAGAUUGUGCAAUACACAUGUCUUUUUUUGUUUUUUCCACAAGUCUAAAACUUUGUGGCUAGAAGACUUGUUUGAAUAUGUUUACACUUUUUGAUCAAAAAUACAAAGUCCUGUGGGUUUACUUCUGUUUUAUUUUAAAGAAAACGUUACCAAUCAAAAUAUUUAUAGAGGUAUAAAAUUAAAAUUACGUUCAAAAAUGUAAUGUGUUGCUAAUUUGCUAUUACUCGAGUUCAGUUUCUUAAUUACAAACAACUUAAAUUAUCUUUCAAAAAAUAAUAGAGAACGCGUACUAUCAUUUUAAUGAAGAAACCAAAAUAACGUUUUAAUAAAUUUAAGACUUGAAGAAACACAAUUAUGAGUUUUAAAUCAUUAUGAUUCUUAGUGCAAUGUAUGCACGUGGGCCCUUAAAUAUGCAACUUGUUGUAUCCUGGCCCGUUGUCAGAAAUUAAUAAAAGAUCCUUUUCCCCAACUAAAAAAACAAUGAUAUUUUGGUAAAAACUUUAGUCCCUACCAUUUUGAACAACUUUGAUUAGAUGAAGUCCGGGGCCGAUUCUGUCCGAUCCAAAUUACGUAGUCUUGGCGAUUUGUUAAUGCUGAAAAAUUCAGUUAUUUUUUUCCAAAUCGGAUAAAAUUGGAUCUUAGGUUCUUCGGGCUUAUUAAUCAUAACGAAUUUCGGACCAGUCUUUGGACCAAAUUUACGUUUUGUUAGUUGGAUGAUCAUUGUUCAAGACCGAACAAAUCAUUGUUCAAGACCGAACGAAAAAAAGUUAUCGUGGGUCAGAAUUCCCGUGGCCUACCAAGCCUGGUCUGAUCUACUCCACUUAUUGGAUAUUUAUGAAGCUCUUUUUAUUAUGGACUUCGGAUAUUUUACAAAGUUAUAACUAGUAUUUUGGGAAAAACAAAAUUGUAACUGGCUUGGUAUUUUAACCAAAAAUAGUCUACAUAGUUUGUGCCAUGUAUUUAACAACAAAACGAAAAUGCUAAUACUAUAAUGGAUAGAUAGGUUAAAACGUAUUUUGAACAAUAGCAGACUUGUUAAAGAAAAUCUUUCACACGACAAUACUUGAUAGAAAAUCAUCAUUUUUUAGACAUUUCUUUAUUUUCGAGAAUGCUUUAAGUAUUUCUGUUCCUUAACUGUAAGCUUCAGCUCUCAAUAAGUGACGAACAAACAAUCGGAUUAAAUAAACUUGGAUUAUAUUAAUGGCCAUCAACACAAAAACACAAGUGAUGUUUCUUACAAAAGUUGCAAGCUAAUGUUGAGAUCGGCAGAGGAAAGGGUUAUACACACUGGCUAAAACUUAAACCCCAGAAGCAAACAUUGAACACUAUUGAUAUUGAUUUCAUACAAAUAUAAUGAGUUUUCGGGGGAGUUAAACAAACAAAACUACUAGGGGUGAAAUUAAUCUAUAGAAAAAAUGAACAGAGGAGCAGCUUGAUAUUUGUAACGAUGGAGCAUCAGAAGAAUCUUACAAGAAGGUCUCUCAAGUUGUGCCUUCUGGGUCGGACAGGCUCGAAGUUUACCGUGAACUGAGCCAAGCUGGGUUAGUAGGCUUGGAAGACGCUUCAGCUGAACCGUCUAUUUGGUAUGGUGCCUUUGAUGUGAUCCUGUUAAAGGUUUACGAGUAGGAUAUUGAGAAAUUCGCUUAACAAGAACUUAUGGAAUAACAAGAUAUUAUGUUUUCAUUAAAAUGCAUUACCUAUCCUUCCUCUUCUCAAGGAACCGAUGAAGUGAAGCUCUUCUUGCAAUCGGGAGUUCUACAAAUCAAAAAGAGAGAAAGUUAGAGAAAUAGGACUAAGCCAAGCUCAGAGAUGGUUGAACCAAAAGAGGCUGAGAUCAAUUACCGCAGGCUAAAGAGGCCGGGUUAGGCUGAAUUGGCUCUUGUGCUGCGGUUUUUGCAGGACUACAAACAGGAUUUGGGCUAGAAGCAAUCUCUUUUUGAGAAUAAGCACUAUGGUUAUUGUUUACUUCAGCUGUGAAACAUGUGAAGCUUUUGGCACUUCCUUUGUUAGCCAAAUCAAUGACUUCUUUAGCUUUCUCAGCAGAAAAAUCAUCAAACACCAUAACUCGACCACCGUAGAAUAUAGUCAACGGAGCAGAUUGAGACUCUGGCUUCACAGAUCUGUUCAAAAUCACACAAAAAUUAGUUAAACUGAUGAAACAUAGCUUACUAUAUGAGACGAUUCUUUUCACUAUAUACAUAUAAACACAUACUUAGUAGUCUCUUUGAUCAUCUGUACAUCUUCUUUGGUCCCAGAGGAAGAGGAAGAAGAAAAGCUUGAUUGUCUCGGAAACAUAGUCUUCGGUUUAAUGUCUUCUUGACCAGCAGAAGAAUCCAUUCCUGAAGCUUCACAAGGGAACAGAUUCAUCAUUGUAGGCUGACGUGAACCUCCUGCGAAAAUUGAUCCAAAAGUAAAGAUUAUUAUCAUUCACCAAUCUCUCAAACAACUGCAAAACAAAAUCUACUUAAUGACUAAACCAGGCCUAUGGCUUUAGAGGAUUAUGCUUAAACCAAACACAGAACCAUCUCCACAAAUUCAUACACAUACAUACAUAUAUAGAAAUUGAUUCAAAAUCCAUUAAUCAUCGAUUCUCUACAACGAUUCAAUUUCCAGACAACAUGUAAUCGAUUCAUAAUUCGUAAUUCGCAACAGGAAACUCAAAAUUCGCAGAAACGAAAUGAACAGAUCUAAAAGAGAAAGGUUGAUUACCAUUAACGUCGGGCUUGCAUGUCAUCCCUAAGCUCAGAUCUCCAAAACUACCCUUCUCCUUCAGGUAACGACUCAAUCGAGUACAUGUUUGUGAAAAGCUCGGUUUACGACCAGAGAAGUCCCAACACUCGGCAGAAAAACUCGACAUCGUUGAAACCGAAAUUGAAAUCGUUUCGAUUGAGAAAUUGGAGCAAAAGGAUCUUCCUUCCUGAGUUGUUGAAUUUUCUCGAAUCUUAUAAAAAAACUUAGGGUUCUUGUUUAUCUUUCUCUGCCAAGUGCGUUUUGUCACGAGGAAGAAAUGGAGGACCUCUUUAUUACUUUUUUUUCGCUGGUUGCAGAUACGGAAAUUAGUAAAAUAUACUCUUAUAGUAUUAAUUAACAUAGAGACAUUUAAAACACGUGUUUUAAUUUAAUGUUUUAACGGCAGACCACUGUUUCAGAUCACCACCGUCACCCACGUCCCCACGCUUCACACUUGAAAUAACCAUUUCACCCUCUUACUACUCCUGUUUUUACCAUUUUACCCUUACAAGAUGUUCAAAUAAAAUAAAAAAUUAUGAAAACGUAAAAUCCUAAAAUUAAUUAGUUCAAACAAAUCAAUGUUCAGAUGAAAUUUGAUUAUGAUAGUCUUUCAGUUAUACCAUUUAGUUGGUUCAUAUAUCCUUUUUUUUAAGAUGAAUCUCUUGGCAUUAAUUUAUGUAUUUUUAGCACUAUUAAUUAGUCUACUAUUUUAAUCUCAUAGACCGGCGUGAUAUUUUAGCACUCAAAGAGAAUUAACGGUAUGAUUUGGGGGAAAAAAGAGGAUUAACGGCGUUAGAUAGAGGGAACACGGUGUGGGUCUUACAUAACCAAAACUCCACCACCAAUGCAAAUUUGAUCCAUAAAUCACGUUUUGUAUUUUCCCUUUUAUUAAUUUUUUUUUAGUGUUUUAUUUAUGACAACAGUAAUAAAUAAUUACAAAAAGCGGGAAGAGCACGUCUCCUCCAUGAAUCGCGACCUUACACGUGUCUAACUUAACUGCCCACAUUUGAGAGAAUUUUUCUUGUUGGUGUCGUAGUCAGAGUAAUCACCUGUUACGCGGCUUAUAUAGCAGCUGUGUUCUCCUACGCACAAUAGCCGUUGAUCCUAUCACUCUGUCUUUUAUUCUCUUGUUAUUAUCCCAUGCGUUUGUUAGGAACACACAAAUAAGUUUGAUUUUCUUUUAUAACGUAACGUCCAACUUGUUAUUUUAUUGACUUGGAUUGUAGUAAUUGCUAACUCAUUACAGGUACAUCGAGAUAACGUAAGGUUCAUAGAGUGGCUCGUGAGAAAAUAAGGAUGAUUGGUUAAUUUGGUUUUUAACUGUUUUAUAAACAUCUUCACAAAAUUUUAUACAUCACAAACAUAUCCAUAAGAAACAAAAUCAGAAGAAGCUGCAGGUACAUACAAUUACAAGGAAGAGGGGUCACAAGAAGAACCCAGAGCGCAUAAAGACAUCAAAGUCUGGAUAUUAUUUAGAGUAUGCAACCAAAAAGAAGAAGGCAAGUGGGGUGGUCACAAAAAUGCAAGAUAGAGGUCACAAGAAGAAUAGAAGAACAUAAGCUAAUUAAGGAAUAGUACUCUAUAUUCCUGUUUUUACUGUAGAAACUUUAUCUACUUAUGGCUCUCUUAUACAAGGCUGAUUGAUACCCUUUUAGCCAUGUUUUUAUACUUGCUCUUGGUUUUCACAGCUGAUUCAUUCCUCUUCUUUCUUUCACAUAUUUAACAGAAAAUAAGCUUACAUAUGAAAGUGGUAAAACAUUGGGCCCUUGGAAUAUAUUUUUUUAGUUUUUACCUUUCAAAAGAUGAUUUAGUUACUCUCUAUAUAUGUAAUUAACAAAGGGAAAACUGUCAAGAGCUACUAAAUUUAAAAUUGAGAAUUGAUUUGGCAUUUUUUGAGAUUUCAUGUUAAACAAUAGAAAUGUAAAGACUACAAAGAUUUCCAAUAAGAAGGUAUCACAAGAAACAGAAUUUUAAUGGCGAAUCCAAACUCUGAUAUCUCUAGCACGUUUUAGCUCCUGUCCAAGUCUUUGGCUCAUCAGAUCUUGAUCCUAAGAAACUUAGCUUAGCUCUUGGUAGUUGAACAAACUCUGUUGAUUCCCUCGACGUAACACUAGCAUAACAUGGGAAACUUCUUGUAAAACACUGCACAUAAUUUAAACACUCAGCUUCAUAACAAAUUCUUAGUCCAUCCCAAAUCAUUUUAGAGCAUUUCUGGACCGACAAUACUUCAAAGGGAACUUGCACAAACUUCCAAUUCAUUAUUGCCAAUGAUCCAUCUCAGCCAAAGUAAUAAAUAUAGAAAGGUCAAAAGAGUUAACUGUCCUUCAAUUCCUCUAAGAAUCUGAUGAUACACAAAUGUACAAUGGAUGUAACUUUUUACCUUACAGCAAGUUAUACAAUCAGGUUUGGAGUACAAGCAACUGCUUUCGCUUUCACUUGUAAGGAGCAAAAAUGAUGCUGGAGUUAUGACCACCAAACCCGAAUGAAUUUGACAAGGCUGCUUUAAUGUCCAGUCUCUCCUUCUUAGGACCCACCAGCAGCUUUGUAUCCUGCUCCAAUUUCAUUUCACAGUACGAUUAUUAAAACUCCCAAGAGUUUUUUUUUACGAACAUUAAAAGGUCUUUGUAUAGGUAUUGAACUCAUAUGAAACUAACAUACCACUCCACUGUCUGGAUUCUCGAGGUUGAUAUUUGGAUGAACCCAUCCGGUCCGUAUCGCCUGUAGAUAGCAACAGAAUAUUAACAUUAAAAAUGCGAAGAUUGCACAUAAUUUCGCUCUAUGCUAAAACUUGGUUUCAACAACACUUCCUUCCUUGUAGAUACACCGAGUCAAAUGAGUUACCUGCACAGUUGCAACAGCCUCCACGGCCCCAGCAGCUCCCAGCAAGUGUCCAAUCAUAGAUUUUGUGGAAUUUACCUUAAGCUGCCACAUCGAGAAAGAUCAAGAAAAGCACAUAAAAAGGCACUUCGGAAUUUUGUAACAAAGAACUGAAGCUACCUCAGGAUUUUGGCCAAAACAGUGAGCAAGGGCUUGGUAUUCCUUAAUAUCUCCAGCAUGCGUUGAGGUUGCAUGUGCAUUUAUGUAAUUUAUUUGUUCCUUGGAAAUCCCAGCACUAGCUAACGCUCUCUCAAUACAGAGAAUAACACCAGCCCCUGCGGAUUUAAGAAAAAUGGGAUAAUGACAAAAAAAUUAUAGAAAAAAGAGAUUUCAAAUUUGUAGUUGACUAGCAGACUAAUAUAAAUUAGGGGAAAAUGAAACUACCAUCAGGGUGAGGCUCGGUCAUGUGAUAGGCAUCACAUGUGAAACUCCCACCGAGGAACUCUGCGUAGAUAGUUGCACCUCUUUUCUGAAAGAAAAGCAGAAUACUUAUGUUCUCACAACUCGUUCCAUAGCAAGCAAUAAAAAAAGCUUUGGAUAUAAGUUUCUUUUGUGAUUUAAAAAUGGGAAACAAGAAAUGACAGAAAGAACGAAUAAGUUAUAUACCUUAGCAUGCUCGAGUUCUUCCAAAAGUAGAACUCCAGCUCCCUCUCCCAUCACGAAACCAUCUCGAUUCUGUCAUGCAAUCAAGACCAGGUUAACAAAACAAGAAGAAUUUCCAAACAUAAUACGCACGUUUCCUCACACUUUCUUUCCUACAACAUUACAAUGUAAGGGAAAUUCCUGUUGGCAAAAACUCGAUACAGUGUUUCUAGCAUCCACCAAGAUUAAAACAAAACCAUAGAAGGGUACUAAAACAUGCAAGUAACAAAAGGAAUAGAAGACAAGACACGAAAUUGUUUAAACUUACGGUAUCCCAAGGACGUGAAGCUUUUGUGGGAUCAUUAUUCCUUUGUGAAAGAGCCCGGCAUGCAACAAAACCUCCCAACCCUGCAUUGGUACACAUACGAUACGAUUUCACGUCGCUUAAAUUUCAAGAAUAGAUGGGACAAUGUAAAAUAUAAGAGAACGAGUUAGCACCUAUUGGAAUAAUAACUGCAUCUGAGCCACCACAGAGCAUUACAUCCUGAAAAGUUUAGUGGAAAGACAAACAGUCUAUAAGUAGAAACAGAGGAAGUCUACCAAACUGUCGAAUUUCCAAGUGUAUGGAGGAUACUUACAGCUUCACCUUUAAUAAUGUGGUUUGCUGAAUUCAGAAUGCAAAAGUUGCUUGUGGCACAAGCAGUUGAAAUAGAAUAGUUUGGCCCCAUCCAUCCCUGAUACAUGACCACAAAAUAAAAAGGGUCAGUACUAAAUUGCUGGUGGUCAUCCAUAAUAUAUUAAGAGCAUUUCAAAUUUAAUCAGACCAGAUCCAUGGCAAGCAUAGCAGAACCCAUGUUUGUUGUCGCAAAAGGUACACAAAAAGGAUUCAUCUUCUUGUAAGAGAUUCUCAGAGCUUCAAUAGCAUCGUAAAAGACCUGUAUUAUUAUAAGAUUAUUAGAAAUGCAACGAUUCGCAACAGACUUCCUAAUUUUUAGAUUCAAUAUUCAUGUGACUCUUUUGUUAGUGAAAGCAUGGUUAAAUGAAGGAACAAUCAGGCGAGAUACUGAACAGAAACCUUAAAAUGAAACUGUUUUCAUACUUUCUAUACAUUCAAGCCCGGGCUCGAGAAAGUACCUUCAUUCCUCCCAUUGCCGAGCCAAUCAAAACUCCACAUUUGGUUUUGUCAAACUCUGCCAUUACUUCAUCAGUAACCCCACCAUCAGCCAAAGCUUUCUUACCAGCUGUGAGAAGAUAGAGCAUGAAUUUGUCCAUCCUUUUAGAAAGUUUUGGAGCAACCCAUCCUUCAGUCGAGAAGCUUUUGAUCUCUCCCGCAAUUCGCUUGACAAAGGUAAAACAAAGAAAGAUAUUCUAGUACACACAAAAGCAAACGGAGAAAUUCCGCACACCAAAAAGCUUCCAAGAGAUCCUGAUAUAAAUAAUACGUACCGUAGGAAAUUCAGAACAAUCAAAAUUUUCAAUCUGGCUAAUACCACUGUUGCCUUGUAGCAAAUUCUCAUAGAAGGUAUGUGGGUCAUGACCCAAUGAUGUUUCAACUCCCAUGCCUGUCACUACAACUCGACGCUGCUCCGUAGGUGGUUUCUUGUUAACCGCAGCUUCCUUUUCCAUCUCCAUCACUGCCAUGGCUCCACCUAAAACCCACAAAGCCAGUUGAUGGUAGAUAAACUUAAUCAGCUACUAUCCACAAACCACAUCUCAAUAGCAAGAUAAACAAAAGAAUCACAGCCAACUUCAAAAUUUAGAUAUAAAAGUUCACUGCCAUUUGGUCAGCUUUCGAAGCUCUGUAUCAUCUAGAGACUAACCUCACAGAGUUUGCUUUCAUAUGAAAGAUGAUAAAACAUGGAAUCACAAUAAAAAUUCAAACUUUCACAUGUCAGCUGCUUCCCACUUCAACUUUACCUCUAAAUUUCAUCACUAACAUAAACCCAUAACAACAUCGAACUAUAAAAACUAAACCUUGCCACAUAAAAACAAAACCCCAGAUUGGAAGAGAAAAUAAAAAAAGGAGAUAAAUGUAAUACCGGAGCUAGCAGCACGAUUCAAUCUCCUCUGGUUUCGAUUCAAAGAAACACUAUUCGAUCCAAAGAGAGAAGACAAUGCAUUGUUGUUGUUGUAGUGAGUACAAGGACCAAAAUCCAAACAAGAAGUGACGAGAGCCUGAAUGCUAGCGGAUCCAGAAGCGACAGAGCAUUUGCUAAGCUGCCUCCUUCGCCGACUCCGCCCACCAGAUUGAAGAGCAACAGCCUGACGGCUAUCUCCUCCACCGUGAGAGACGGACAUGCAAGCAGCAACAAACCAGGUACAUAACGGAGAUGCGUAAGAGGAAGACGCACCCACCAUGGCAUAAAAAGGAAGAGGCUUUGAGAAGAACCCAGAUGAGAGAACAAAGGAGAAAGCGAGAAAUGGGUGAAGAGAAGAAGAGAGAAUCUAGCAGAGAGAAGGCAAAUGGGAUUCACGAGAGAUUUAAGAGAAAUCGAUCUGCGAUCUCUCUCUUCUCUCUCUCUUUCAGGAAGCGUGCAGAGAGCUUCGAUGCGUUAAAUCGUGCGUGGAGACGCCAAAAAUCCUUCUCUGAAACAAACAGACAGAGAGAGAGAGAGAGAGAUACAACACUAUACAAAUACCAAUCGACACUUCAAAUCUCAAUAUUAUCGAUGACCAUUAAAUUUUAUUUAUUUUUAUCUCAAUCUCAAUUUUGUAACUAAAAAAUAUAUACUAUAACCUUUUUAUCUAUUUUUGUUAAAGUUGAUGAUAUUUUAUCAAAAAAUAGCCCCACUUUUCAAAACUAAAAAACAAAAUAUUCCUAACUUAUUUUCUUUUAUUAGGUUUAGUUUUCAAGUACAAAUCACAAAAUUGAAAACAGUAAUUUCACAGAAUGAUAGGAAAUCAUAAUUUAUGUUGAUGUAAUGAUAUAAUCAAAAAAUAAUUAUACAGUAACGCUGCUGAUUCAAUAUGUUCCACUACAAUUUUUGUUACAUACACAGAUUUGGUGACCUCGGUUUAAUCGAAGGAAGGACACUUGGAAAAUCAUUAUUUUAUUUUGGAUUACUUGUUUUUUGUUUUUGUGGCAGUGAAGUGUUACAGACUUGGGAUAGUGAUAUGGCAAAGGAGCGCCACUGUUUUUUUUUUUAACAUUUAUUACUCUCAUGAUUUUUUGAAGUGACUAAUCUUCAGAAAUACACGUAUAAAGUACGUAUUUUAUACAUGAGUUUACUAGUAGUAGUGUUCAUAAAUAGGAAGAUCAUCAAGUGGUCCGGUCCGGUGAUGGUAUUGGGAAGUAGAUCCAGAAAGAAAAGAAGAAAAAACAUUGAUAAAAGUCAUGGAUUUGAUACGUUAAAGCUGACUAAUAAAUAUAAUAGACCCCUCAAAUUCAUUAAAUUCACACAAUGAAUGUCUCUUUUGACUUGUGUAUAAUCAAAAGUUUGAUAGGAUACACGUGAUUUGUUUUUCCUACUGAUCGAAACAUUACACACAUCAAGUAGCUCUAAUAUUGUAUCAAACCAAGUUGUAUUAGAGAAUUGGUUUAUGUUGGUUUGAAAUCCAACCCAAGAGUUCAGGUUUUUUGUUUUGUUUUUAAGUGAUGGAAAUGGAAUAAAAGAAAACAGAGGAAGCAGGAAAGAGGGGAGCAAGCGAAUAUGCAUGGAAAGAGUCAAAGUGGGUAAGCUCUCUCAUACCUAACAUUCCAUUUUCGCAUCACCAUUCCCAGCUAAACCAGCCUAUUUUAUGCACACAUACAUACUAUCUCACACUUGUCGAUUUCUGAUUCGUUCGGUAUGAGCCCAUCAAAAUCAACAUUACUACUUCAAUAUCAAAGGAAUUAGAUAGAUACACAAAGUGAUACAAGUGUGUUCAGGUAUUGCUGCUUAUCCACUAUCCAUGAACACCUUUUGAAAGAAGCAAAGUUUUCACUUUCACCUGAAAUCUAACUGAUAAACGAUUCAGAAGUGCAUUUGUCUGAUCACAAUUCAUAAGUGCAUUUGUUACAAAAGCAUAUCAACUUUGCGUUCCAUUCAAACAAAACAGAGAUUGUAUUAGUUCGUCUACACAUAAACAUUAACAUGAAACAAAAGACCGAUAAUAGACAAGAAAAGUUUUUAAAAAAAAUGGAGGCAGAGGAGUCUACUUGAAGAGUUGAUCCAAUGAUAUGUAAAACUCUUAACGCUUGGAGAAUUGUGGGGCUUUACGCGCCUUCUUGAGCCCGGCCUUCUUUCUUUCAACCACUCUCGCAUCUCUAGUGAGCAAACCUUCCUUCUUCAAAGGCGAUCUGUGGUCUGCACUUACCUUCAGGAGUGCACGUGCGACUCCCAAGGUAAUUGCUUGAGCUUGACCUGAGAGACCGCCUCCAUGGGCUUUCACAAAUAUGUCGUAGCUAUUCUCAUAUCCUAAAGUCACCAAUGGUACUUUAACAUACUGAAGCCACAAUGGAUUUCCCUGAAGGUACUCCUGAAAAAGGUUUACAAUGAUCAUCAUCAGCAAUAUACGUAUGGAUUCAAAUCUUUCCCAUUCACAACAAAACAGCUUGUCAAAACCCCCCAAACUUUUAUCAUAAUCUCUCCUUGUUAACACUUUCUCAGCCACUUAUCCUAAGUCUAAACAGCCUAGAAUUUAUCAUAUGAACUAUUUGUUCAGAAAUUUCUUCCAGUUUCACCUUAAUCUAUAACGUGCUGAUGCAGCUCCCAGGUCACAAAGAACUACAUACAGAUAACGUCUGAUCACAAGACUAAUACCGAUACAGUUUGAUCACUUUCUCAGCCACUUAUCCUAGUCUAAAGUCUAAAUAGCCUAGAAUUCAUCAUAUAAACUAUUUGUUCAGAGAGUUCUUCCAGUUUCAACUUAAUCUGUAACGCGCUGAUAUAACUCAUCUAUCAAAAAGAAGUACAUAAAGAUACAGUUUGAUCACAAGACUAGUAUACCCUACAUAACAGAGAAUAUCUUCAUAAAGGUCAAGACUUUCUCUCCUACAAACUGCUACAAUUUAUACUACUAAAUGCUUCAAUCGAUUACACACUAUGCAUGAUGUCAGUCUCUUGCAGGUAUCAGAUAUUCAUAUAAACCAAGAAUAUGUUCAAACGGGGGUAAGUGGACUGCUUUCAUAGCUUUAGCUGUUAAAAUACCAAUUUCAAGUUCAAAUCUUAAUCUCAUAUGAGUAGUCAAUUCUCAGCUGUAUAAACUCCAAAUUCAAGGCCUAAGCAAACACAUCAAGCGACUAAGCAACAGUGUAAAAGCCAAUAAGAUAAUGAAAUUAGAAAUAAAUUUACCUUGGCAUCACGAUAGUUGAUGAUAACCUUCCCAGUACCUUCCUGAAGAACAACUCUAGCGAUUGCGCACUUACGUCGUCCAGUGCCAAUAAUCUUCUGAGCAGCAAAUCCUCCGGGAAGCCUCGAUUUGACGUAUUUCUUCAGUUCAACUAUCUCCUCCUCCUCCGGUGGAGCAGAUACCGUGGCGGUGAUAGAUAGAGAAGCGCGGCGUGCGGAUUUCGCCGGUAAUGCGAAUACUGAAUUCGCGCGGGGGAAGGAAAUGGUGUUAGGUCUUUGAGAAACUUGGGAGGAGAACGAGAGUGAAGAGAGAGAAGAGGCGAGGUUCGUAAUCGACGCCAUUGUCGCUGAACGAAG